GAUGAACGCUGGCGGCGUGCCUAAUACAUGCAAGUCGAGCGAAGCGGGGACGGGUGAGUAACACGUGGAUAACCUCCUAUAAGACUGGGAUAACUUCGGGAAACCGGAGCUAAACCGGAAAAUUAUAGCAGGUUCCGCGCUGCAUUAGCUAGUUGGUAAGGUAACGGCUUACCAAGGCAACGAUCCAUAGCCGACCUGAGAGGGUGAUCGGCCACACUGGAACUGAGACACGGUCCAGACUCCUACGGGAGGCAGCAGUAGGGAAUCUUCCACAAUGGGCGAAAGCCUGACGGAGCAACGCCGCGUGUAUGAAGAAGGUCUUCGGGUCGUAAAACUCUGUUAUUAGGGAAGCGGUACCUAAACAGAAAGCCACGGCUAACUACGUGCCAGCAGCCGCGGUAAUAC
rnacentral:rRNA from 1 species